rnacentral:rRNA from 1 species
AGGGAAUCUUCCGCAAUGGACGAAAGUCUGACGGAGCAACGCCGCGUGAGUGAAGAAGGCCUUCGGGUCGUAAAACUCUGUUGCCGGGGAAGAACAAGUGCCGUUCGAACAGGGCGGUGCCUUGACGGUACCCGGCCAGAAAGCCACGGCUAACUACGUGCCAGCAGCCGCGGUAAUACGUAGGUGGCAAGCGUUGUCCGGAAUUAUUGGGCGUAAAGCGCGCGCAGGCGGCUUCGUAAGUCUGAUGUGAAAUCGUGCGGCUCAACCGCAAACGGUCAUUGGAAACUGGGAGGCUUGAGUGCAGAAGAGGAGAGUGGAAUUCCACGUGUAGCGGUGAAAUGCGUAGAGAUGUGGAGGAACACCAGUGGCGAAGGCGGCUCUCUGGUCUGUAACUGACGCUGAGGCGCGGAAGCGUGGGGAGCAAAC